rnacentral:lncRNA from 1 species
GGGGGCAGACAGCAUGCAAAUGGAGGCAGCCUGUAGUCCUUACCUGGAAACUUCACGGGAAACCUCACCCAGCCUGGACAUGUUCAGUGACCCAAGAUUGGGCAAUAACAGGUCUGUGACGCUCAUAGAUAUCUGGGGCUGCACGUGCACUACACCAACUGGCUCAGUGUGUGCCUCCCCUACACCAGCAGGCGCUGGUAAACUCUUGAACCCUAUUCGUGAUGGGGAUUGGGGAUUGCAAUUAUUCCCCAUGACCGAGGAAUUCCUAGUAAGUGCAGGUCAUAAGCUUGCAUUGAUUAAGUCCCUGCCUG